rnacentral:lncRNA from 1 species
AAUCAAGUUAAGCCUUGAAGAACUGAAGGAGAAGUCCCUGACAGCUCGGAACACCCUCAAUAUCACUGUGAAGAAAUGGGGGAUCUCAAGCUGAGAAUCACCAAAGAUAAGUAAAUGAGUUCGCCGUCAGCUGAAGUAUUACCACGAUCAUUAGAAGAUUUAGCUAACGUUAACACUAAAGUUACCCUAGUCACUCAGUCCAAUGCAACUUAUCCUGAUGAGCAAGUAAAAAAUGUAUUUCUCCCAAUCAUAUCACAAGUUAUAGAGGAUGGCC